rnacentral:rRNA from 1 species
UGACGCUGAGGCGCGAAAGCUAGGGGAGCAAACGGGAUUAGAUACCCCGGUAGUCCUAGCCGUAAACGAUGCUCACUAGGUGUUGCCGGCAUCGACCCCGGCAGUGCUGUUUUGCUAACGCGUUAAGUGAGCCGCCUGGGGAGUACGGCCGCAAGGUUGAAACUCAAAGGAAUUGACGGGGGCCCGCACAAGCGGUGGAGCAUGUGGGUUAAUUGGAUGCUACGCCAAGAACCUUACCAGGGCUUGACAUGUUCCCGACUGCGUGAGAGAUCACGCCUUCUGCGCAAGCAGACGGGAUCACAGGUGGUGCAUGGCUGU